rnacentral:rRNA from 1 species
AGGGUUCGAUUCUGGCUCAGGAUGAACGCUGGCGGCGUGCUUAACACAUGCAAGUCGAACGGGAUCCAUCAGGCUUUGCUUGGUGGUGAGAGUGGCGAACGGGUGAGUAAUGCGUGACCGACCUGCCCCAUACACCGGAAUAGCUCCUGGAAACGGGUGGUAAUGCCGGAUGCUCCGACUCCUCGCAUGGGGUGUCGGGAAAGAUUUCAUCGGUAUGGGAUGGGGUCGCGUCCUAUCAGGUAGUCGGCGGGGUAACGGCCCACCGAGCCUACGACGGGUAGCCGGCCUGAGAGGGCGACCGGCCACAUUGGGACUGAGAUACGGCCCAG